rnacentral:rRNA from 1 species
AACGAACGCUGGCGGCGUGCCUAAUACAUGCAAGUCGGACGCGUUGCGAACGGAUUAGUAACGCGUGGUAACCUGCCUAUUAAAGGGGGCUAACUAUUGGAAACGAUAGCUAAUACCGCAUCCUAGUAGAUGGAGCUUGAUUGUAUUAGCUAGUAGGUAGGGUAAUGGCCUACCUAGGCGACGAUACAUAGCCGACCUGAGAGGGUGACCAGCCACACUGGAACUGAGACACGGUCCAGACUCCUACGGGAGGCAGCAGUGGGGAAUAUUGCACAAUGGGCGCAAGCCUGAUGCAGCCAUGCCGCGUGUAUGAAGAAGGCCUUCGGGUUGUAAAGCACUUUCAGCGGGGAGGCGUUACCCGCAGAAGAAGCACCGGCUAACUCCGUGCCAGCAGCCGCGGUAAUAC